rnacentral:rRNA from 1 species
GACGUAGGAGGCGAGCGUUGUCCGGAAUCAUUGGGCGUAAAGAGCGCGUAGGCGGUCCGGUAAGUCGGUUGUGAAAGUCGGGGGCUCAACCCUCGGAGGCCGACCGAUACUGUCGGGCUAGAGUCCGGAAGGAGGCGAGUGGAAUUCCUGGUGUAGCGGUGAAAUGCGCAGAUAUCAGGAGGAACACCAAUGGCGAAGGCAGCUCGCUGGGACGGUACUGACGCUGAGGCGCGAAGACGUGGGGAGCAAACAGG